AAAAAAAAAACCAGGUAGUUGGAACAUCAAAAGAUUACUGUUAAUUAAAGAAACUAGACAUCUUAAGUUAAUAAAUGUAGCACUUUUCUAUAUAUGGUGAGAUGCAAGAAUCUGGUCUCCUGGAAAUCAGUCCCUUGAUGUUCACUUUAAUUAUCUAGGGCCAGUAUCCUGUUUUCUCCAUCCUGAAUCCCCUCAGGGUGCGGCUUUGGGUGUGGCUUCAGUGGCUGAUGGCUUGAUGGCUAUAACAUCCUGUGUUACUGAUAAGGCUGGCUACCUUCUUUCUCCACAUAAAUGACUUGAAUAUGGAUAGUAAAUCUGUGGAUUUGCAAAACGUAAUUCUUGGAGCAUUUUUAUAAGGACAAAGUUAAGGCAAUUUCAGAAUCACUAGCGGCUAAAAUUGCUAUUUACACUUUUCCACUGGUAGGUAGUCAUCUGCUGUUGCUGUCUUCAGUAAUCUGCUGUUGCUGUAUUCCCAAGGGAUAACAAAAACCAUUGAAUUCAAGAAAGAAAUGUAAAAUCUAGCACAAUGCAGCUUCCACAAAACCAAACACACAAACACACACCCAACUCUCGCAGAUAUGAAGUAGUAAUCUAAAAUAGAAUCCUGGAACUAAUUGCAAAACAAGAGCAAAUGUACUCCUAUUGGAUCAUUUUAUUCUUUUAUUAAUGUUUGAUACAUAUAUGUAUUUAUUAUUAAAAUUCAAAGUUGCUAUAUGGGCCGCGCGCGAAGACAUGGGGGAGAAGCUGGAGCUGAGGCUGGAGUCGCUCUUGGGGACCGAGCCCGCCGUCUGCCCGUGGCCGCUGCCGGUCUACGUGGAAAGACUAUCUCCCAGUUGAACAGCGGAUGCCUGGGACUCAUUUCAUUGCUUUCAAAGUUCCUUUAAAAAAGAGUUUUGAAAAGAAUCUUGCUCCAGAAGAACGUUUCUCCCCCUUGGAUCUCUUAACAAAAUCCAAGGACAGAAUGAAGAACUUGGGCUGAUUAUUGACUUAACAAAUACUCGCCGCUAUUACAAGCCAGAGGACUUACCAGAAACUAUUCCUUAUUUAAAAAGUUGUACAAUUGGGCAUCAGGGGUCAGAUGACGACGCUAGUUUUAAAUUCCAGUGUGCUGUUAAUGGGUUUCUGAAAGAACAUAAAGAUAACGGUGAGUUGCUUUUGUUUUUGUUUUUGUUUUUCCUUUACCUGAACUUUGGUAUGCAUUUUGAGUGGGCUUGGGGGUUUUUAACAUUUUUAAUAGUUCUGACAUUAGUGUCAAGUUGUGUUUGGUAACAUUAAGGUGGAAAUGUCAGAUGGUGCUAAUAGAGUACGGUGUUUUUCCUGUUUAUGGUCACAAACAAUUUAGUUUAGUUUGGAAA